GUGCCAAAGAUCUGCUGGCAUCUGUUCAUUCAGCCACAUAUGAAGGGAUGGGUGGUUCUCUUGUGGCAUUUGAUGUGUGUGCCACGUAGAGGGGCUUGCUUCCCCUGAUUUCCAACCUCCUGAGACCUGAAAGAGAGAGAUCAGAGAAGAUAUGCGACAUAGCAGACAGAGAGGCAGGGUAGGGUGCUUCCACGUCUCCGGCGGCAGCGACGGUGGUUAAACCGUCAAAAUGGGUGAGAACAUGUUUCUCAAAAAGACCUUAGUGGCAUCAGAUGAAACAACGAGGGUGAUACAAAGGUAAAGAAAGACAGAGAUGGGAAGAGAAGAAAGAGCGAGAAAGAGAGAUCCGGAGUCAGCGAGUCUCCGGCGACUGGCCCCCGGUGCAUGCUCGCCUCCCACCCACAGAACGAAAGAUGUAGAAAUCCUCGAAGGUGUCGGAACGGGCCGUAGCAGACCGACAAAGAGGCCGAUGGUUGGGUUUAGCAGAUGAACGAUGGUGGUGGUGCAAGACUAGGUCAGCGACGGCUUAGGGUUUCCAUGUACAGUCGACAAACAAGCAACAGUGAGACGCAUCUCCCGUCCUCUUGCAGAACGGGCCAGAUCUGAUGAGGUACAGGUGACCGGUGGCGGUGAAAUGUGUCGGCUAGGGUUUCUAAGAUUCCGUGGCUGAUGGAGGAUAGCAACAAGAAGGCUGAAAUUGAUUUGCAUGAAUCGAAUGCUUCGUACGAACGCCGAAAGGAAGUAAGGCCUCCAAAUACAUCUAGCAGGGCGUUAGAGGUUCUUGAUCGGGCUCCAAAGAAGUUGACUUAUUUGCAGCUGAUUAGAAACCAAAUUCUUUCUUUAUAAGUUGUAACAAGGUAGUAAAGCAACAAUUUUUUUUUACCUUCGCGUUAUAAUGGUUGAACGUAAAUUAUGUUUAACCUAUAAAAACUUUCUGAGGGCCAAAUUGUUGAGAAAAGACUCGAGUGUUUGUACCAUGGCUGGAAGUCUGAGGGUGAGGGAAAAUAUACCAUGGAAUGGCCAACUGUGGUAGCUCUUAUUUUGCGGGAAUUUCAUAUAUGUCUUUCAUGCAAUUUAGUAAUGAGCCGACUUUGGAAUGCGAAAAGUGAUCGAUAUUGAGGUUUUGCUUUUCCUGAUUGUGAAUAGUCAAUACUCUGUGUAUUGGAAUUUGUAUUGUUACGAUCUUUUGGUUAAAUUGAUGCAGGUUAUUUUUUUGUUUUGUCUUUGCUGAAUUUUAUUAUGAUUUACAAGCAUUGAAUUUCUUCUUUUUCAUAGGAAAGCUGGAAGAGUUCACAGUGCUAAGAUCGAGAGUGACAAUUACCUUAUGCGAGCAAAGCUACAAGACACCAGGUAAAAAAACUCUUGCCACCUUCCAAAAUUUCAGAUACUUAGAGAAUAAGUUGUAUUACUUAAAUAAGUAUCCCCAUCAGAGCUGAUGUACAUUAGAACGUUGAUUGUUUGGAUGAUGACACACGAAUUAAAAACUGAGUUCGUUUAAGUGGUUAAACCUUAUAAAUUUAUAUAGAAAUAGAACAGGUCUGGUCAAUCCAAUGAAUUAAGGAAGCUUUUUUUUAAAUAAAGAAGUAUCUGACAAUCAAACGGGUUAAAGAUGCAUCUUUACAAAUAUAGUCUCACUAAUAUGAUGCGUUAUAGCUUCGCAACAAACACUAGAAGACCCUUGCCAAACUAGGGAUGAGGUGUACCGAAAAGGCUCGGUACGGUUUGGUACUGAUACUGAUACUGGUACGAUACUGGUUUGGCACCGGGUACCAUUCGCUCAUCCCUAGGCCAAACUACUCACACACAGGAAAGGACGAUUCAACUCAUAACAAAGGUUUCGCAAAGAAAUCGAACAACCUUCGAAACAUUGCACCAGCUUGACAAAUGAAAGGUACUCACAUUUUGUUGCUGAACAUUUUAAUACUUUAGCUGAUUCAUAUCUUCCAUUUCAAUAUGACACUUCUAUUGUUGUUAAACAUUUUGUCACAAUCUUUAAAGUUGUAAACUAAUGUAUUUGUAUCAAUUUGAUCUAGCAGGCAUUUACAACGUUCAUUUUACAUCUUGCAUUCACCUUUUAACAUUUGUACAGUAGAUUUUUCUGAGUUUGCGUUUGUGUGCCUAUACUGCUACAAGUCGAAGAAUUUCCGUUACAAUGAGCCGAAUCAAUUCCUACCUAACAAUUGUCUUCCCUUGAUGUAAAUCAAAUGUUGUAUUUUUUUAUUAUAUCACAAUUUUAUUUACUUAUUUUUUAUCAGUAGGUUAUUACAACUA